rnacentral:rRNA from 1 species
AGUGAACGCUGGCGGUAGGCCUAACACAUGCGAGUCGAACGGCAGCACAGUAAGAGCUUGCUCUUACGGGUGGCGAGUGGCGGACGGGUGAGGAAUACAUCGGAAUCUACUUUUUCGUGGGGGAUAACGUAGGGAAACUUACGCUAAUACCGCAUACGACCUACGGGUGGAAGCAGGGGAUCUUCGGACCUUGCGCGAUUGAAUGAGCCGAUGUCGGAUUAGCUAGUUGGCGGGGUAAAGGCCCACCAAGGCGACGAUCCGUAGCUGGUCUGAGAGGAUGAUCAGCCACACUGGAACUGAGACACGGUCCAGACUCCUACGGGAGGCAGCAGUGGGGAAUAUUGGACAAUGGGCGCAAGCCUGAUCCAGCCAUACCGCGUAGGUGAAGAAGGCCUUCGGGUUGUAAAGCCCUUUUGUUGGGAAAGAAAAGCAGCAGGUUAAUACCCCGCUGUUCUGACGGUACCCAAAGAAUAAGCACCGGCUAACUUCGUG